AGUGAACGCUGGCGGCGUGCCUAACACAUGCAAGUCGAGCGGGUUUCUGUCUGUAGCAAUACAGAUAGAAAUCAGCGGCAGACGGGUGAGUAACACGUAGAGAACUUACCUCUUAGAGGGGGAUAGCCCGCCGAAAGGCGGGGUAAUGACCGCGUAAGAUUCCUUGGCUGGCAUCAUCGAGGAAUGGAACAUCCGCAAGGAUGGCUAGGAGAAAGCUCUGCGGCCUAUCAGCUAGUUGGUGAGGUAAUGGCUCACCAAGGCUACGACGGGUAUCCGACCUGAAACGGGUGAUCGGACACACUGACACUGAGACACGGGUCAGACUCCUACGGGAGGCAGCAGUGAGGAAUUUUUCGGACAAUGGGGGCAAAUCCCGUGAUCCAGCGACGCCGCGUGAAGGAUGAAGGUCUUCGGAUU
rnacentral:rRNA from 1 species